rnacentral:rRNA from 1 species
UACGGGGGGGGCAAGCGUUGUUCGGAAUUACUGGGCGUAAAGGGCUCGUAGGCGGCCAACUAAGUCCGACGUGAAAUCCCCAGGCUUAACCUGGGAACUGCGUCGGAUACUGGAUGGCUUGAAUUCGGGAGAGGGAUGCAGAAUUCCAGGUGUAGCGGUGAAAUGCGUAGAUAUCUGGAGGAACACCGGUGGCGAAGGCGGCAUCCUGGACCAAUAUUGACGCUGAGGAGCGAAAGCCAGGGGAGCAAACGGG